rnacentral:rRNA from 1 species
CCUACGGGAGGCAGCAGUAAGGAGUAUUGGACAAUGCCCGCAAGGGUGAUCCAGCCAUGCCGCGUGCAGGAAGAAGGCCCUAUGGGUCGUAAACUGCUUUUACACCGGAGAAAACCUCCCUUCGUGAAGGGAGCUGAUAGUAUGGUGAGAAUAAGCAUCGGCUAACUUCGUGCCAGCAGCCGCGGUAAGACGAAGGAUGCAAGCGUUAUCCGGAUUCAUUGGGUUUAAAGGGAGCGUAGGUGGACUGAUAAGUCAGUGGUGAAAUCUUCGAGCUUAACUCGGAAAUUGCCAUUGAUACUGUUAGUCUUGAGUACAGUUGCUGUGGGCGGAAUAUGACAUGUAGUGGUGAAAUACAUAGAGAUGUCAUAGAACACCGAUUGCGAAGGCAGCUCACAAAGACUGUAACUGACACUGAGGCUCGAAAGUAGCGGGGAGUCAAACAGAUUAGAUACCUGUAGUCGCACUGUAAACGAAUGAUUACUCGCUGCUAGAGGGGCGAACUUUUAAGUUAGGUCGUUAGUCGAAAGACGAUAAAGAAAUUACCACCCUGGGGAGGUACGGCCGGCGAACGGUAGGAAACGUUAAAAGGUAAAGUUAGUAAGGACGUUAGAGAGACGGACGACGGACGACACGACGGGAGGAGGAG